rnacentral:rRNA from 1 species
GACGUAGGGUGCAAGCGUUAAUCGGAAUUACUGGGCGUAAAGCGUGCGCAGGCGGCUUUGCAAGACAGAUGUGAAAUCCCCGGGCUUAGCCUGGGAACUGCAUUUGAGACUGCAUGGCUGGAGUGUGGCAGAGGGGGAUGGAAUUCCGCGUGUAGCAGUGAAAUGCGUAGAUAUGCGGAGGAACACCGAUGGCGAAGGCAAUCCCCUGGGCCUGCACUGACGCUCAGGCACGAAAGCGUGGGGAGCAAACAGG